ensembl:lncRNA
GGGACUGAUGGCACCAGAAACUCUAGGGAGGCCAGCACAAGGGGACAGGUUGGGUGGGGGGCUGGCGGGAGGCCCAGCCCAGCUUUUCAGCUCCAGAGGCUCAGACGUGCCAUGAGGUCAUUCCCUCCUGGGAACUCCCAGAGCCCUGCCCGAGGGGAUGCUGAGCCCCAGGCCCUUCCUGCCCAGCCGGGGCUGGAGCCCUCUUCCCUCCUGCUGCCCAGGCAGGAUGUUUCCAGGGAGGAAAUGGCUCCUGGGAGGCCACCCCACCCCCGCUGGAGUCUAGGGCCACUUCCUGCCCUGCAUGGGCCUUGGUUCUGCCCCCAGUCUGCCAGCCUGGGCUAGACCCCAGACUUCCUGUCCCUACGGCAUGGAGAGGCCGAGGUGUCUCUCUCGGCCUCACCCAGCCUGGGAGGCACAGUCGGAACCUCCUGGACCCCAGGACCUGAGAACCUCCCCCUGGGGCCCCACUUCUGUUGCCCUACAACCCUGGUCAGAGGGAGGCACAACCCGCUCUGCCCCCAUGCCCAGCCUUCCCCAGCGCCACAGAGCCUCCUUCAGAUAGGUUCCACUUGGGCACCACCUGCUGCCCCACCGCCCAUCUCCAUGAGGCCUGCGGGCCUGAGCCAUCCCCAGCCCACCCCCGGAAGCUGAAUGACUGCAUCAAAGCACGCUUUUGGCUACAGCCCUGCAGGGCUGGCCUUGGACCAGCGGGCUAGCCUGGAUCCGAUGGGCCCUCCUAGCCGAGGUCAUUACCCGGCUCCGUGGGCAGCCCCAUCCCCAGGGGAGGCCACUUGGCUCAGUCCUCACCCACCCUAUUCAAUGGGGCUUCCUGCCGACCCCAGAUCUGGGUGAGUGUCCUGGUCACUGCCCCCUCGACCACCACCCCCUGCAGCAGGAAACACGUAGCUUGGGGGUUGUGUGGGGCUUCAGCACUGGGAUUGGAGAGGCUGACAGCAGGGCUGGGGGCUCUGGGCGGAAGUGGGGCCUCAGCCCACUCAGAGGUCCAGGAAGCGGGGGUCUCAGAAGCUUCCUCUUGGCCAGACGAGCCGGAGGGUCAGAGGCCUGGCCGCAGCUGCCCCUUCCUCUUCGGCCAGCCAGCCGCUGGGUGGCCCGUGCUGCAGCAGGCCUCAGACUGGGGAGCUGGGUGUCCUUCAACCCCCACAGGUGGCCAGCAUCAGGACCGGAAGCCUCUGAAUCGGCCCGGUCUAGAGGUAUGGGCAGCUGUGGGGGCCACUGGGCAGGUGUAGCAGAGCUCAAGGCAUGCAGCAAGGGCCACCUCAGCCUGGGCCUGUGUUCCCUUCAGUCAAACCUCCCCCCAGCCUUGGCUCGCCCAUCUCUCCAGUGAGGUGACAAUCUCGGGCCCGGCCAGACAGAGACGCUGACCGGGACAGAGGACCCUGGGGCCUUCUAAGGCCACUGCCAUGUGGGCCAGGUCCUGUCAGACCCCCCAGUCCUCAGCCUCUGACCAAUUUCUGUUCAUGCCCUGGCCCUCCACUGUGCCCACCCAACCCCACCGGAACUCAGAGACCCAGCCCCCACAAGGUCUUUUCUUCACAGCCAGGACCA